rnacentral:rRNA from 1 species
AAUGAACGUUGGCGGCAUGGAUUAGGCAUGCAAGUCGAGCGAGAAGAGUCAUUUGCUUGCAUUUGACUCGGAAAGCGGCGUAAGGGUGAGUAACGCGUAGUUACCUGCCCUCGGGUCCGGAAUAGCUGCGGGAAACUGCAGGUAAUGCCGGAUAACAUCUCAGGAUCAAACGUGAGAUUCCGCCCGGGGAGGGGACUGCCCCCUACUAGCUUGUUGGUGGGGUAAUGGCCUACCACGGCUUCGAUGGGUAGCGGGCGUGAGAGCGUGGCCCGUCACACUGGGACUGAGACACUGCCCAGACACCUACGGGUGGCUGCAGUCGAGAACCUUCGGCAAUGGGCGAAAGCCUGACCCAGCAAUGCCGCGUGCGGGAUGAAGGCCCUCGGGUUGUAAACCGCGAAAGUAAGGAGGAAGGACCUGCGAAGAGCAGGUUUUGACCGAUCUACAGUAAGGACGGGCUAAGUUCGUGCCAGCAGCCGCAGUAAAAC